rnacentral:rRNA from 1 species
UUCGCCCUUAGAGUUUGAUCCUGGCUCAGAGCGAACGCUGGCGGCAGGCUUAACACAUGCAAGUCGAGCGGGCCCUUCGGGGUCAGCGGCAGACGGGUGAGUAACGCGUGGGAACGUGCCCUUCGGUUCGGAAUAACCCUGGGAAACUAGGGCUAAUACCGGAUACGCCCCUUGGGGGAAAGGUUUACUGCCGAAGGAUCGGCCCGCGUCUGAUUAGCUAGUUGGUGAGGUAACGGCUCACCAAGGCGACGAUCAGUAGCUGGUCUGAGAGGAUGAUCAGCCACACUGGGACUGAGACACGGUCCAGACUCCUACGGGAGGCAGCAGAAGGG